UACGGAGGGUGCGAGCGUUGUCCGGAAUCACUGGGCGUAAAGGGCGCGUAGGUGGCGGAGCAAGUCAACGGUGAAAGCUCGACGCUCAACGUCGAGUCGGCCGUCGAGACUGCUUUGCUCGAGCACUGUAGAGGCAGAUGGAAUUCCGGGUGUAGCGGUGGAAUGCGUAGAGAUCCGGAAGAACACCGGUGGCGAAGGCGGUCUGCU
rnacentral:rRNA from 1 species